rnacentral:rRNA from 1 species
CCUAGGGAGGUAGAAGUGGGGAAGAGUGCACAACGGGGGAAACCCGGAGGCAGUGACGACGCGUGAGUGAAGAAGUAUUUCGGUAUGUAAAGCUCUAUCAGCAGGGAAGAAAAUGACGGUACCUGAUUAAGAAGCCCCGGCUAACUACGUGCCAGCAGCCGCGGUAAUACGUAGGGGGCAAGCGUUAACCGGAUUUACUGGGUGUAAAGGGAGCGUAGACGGUGAUGCAAGGCAGAAGUGAAAGCCCGGGGCUCAACUCCGGGACUGCUUUUGAAACUGUGUGACUGGAGUGCAGGAGAGGUAAGCGGAAUUCCUGGUGUAGCGGUGAAAUGCGUAGAUAUCAGGAGGAAUACCAGUGGCGAAGGCGGCUUACUGGACUGUAACUGACGUUGAGGCUCGAAAGCGUGGGGAGCAAACAGGAUUAGAUACCCUUGUAGUC